UACGUAGGGGGCAAGCGUUGUCCGGAUUUAUUGGGCGUAAAGAGCGUGUAGGCGGUCAGGUAGGUCCGUUGUGAAAACUCGAGGCUCAACCUCGAGACGCCGAUGGAAACCAUCUGACUAGAGUCCGGAAGAGGAGAGUGGAAUUCCUGGUGUAGCGGUGAAAUGCGCAGAUAUCAGGAGGAACACCGAUGGCGAAGGCAGCUCACUGGGACGGUACUGACGCUGAGGCGCGAAAGCCAGGGGAGCAAACGGG
rnacentral:rRNA from 1 species